ACACUCUUGUUUCUCUUCAGAUCGUAUAAAUCUUUCGCCUUUUCCUAAAGUUUUCCGUGGGGAGGAACAACAUGAUUUAAAAAAUUUUUUUUUUUAUUUUUGAUGCUCUGUGAAA